AUGGUAAAAAGUGAAACUGUCUUAUGGAGUAAGAAAAGGGUUUAAAUAAACUUACCAUCAUACUGUAUAGGAAAUAAAAGAAAUAAGUGAGAUGUAUAAAUGAAGUAAUAUAAAAUAAAUAAGAUAGAAAGGGAAAAAAGUACCGAAAGGGAAAGAAGAAAGAUUAGAAAAGGAGUUCUUAAUAAACGUACCUUUUGUAUCAUGGUUCAGCAAGAGAUUAUUAUAAAAGAAUAAAAUCUCGAAACCUGCAGAGCUACUAAUAUCCGUCUUUUUAGAGAAAAUUAAUGAAAGAACUAGUUGUUGGUGUAGCAUUACUUUAGCUAGAGAUAUUAGGAGAAGUAAAAUUCUAUUCGAAGUAGGUGAUAGCUAGUUCCUCCAGAAAUGUAUGCUAAUGCAGAGGCGACUAAAUUGAAAAAGAAGUUUUAUUUAUUAAUACGAAUAAAGAUAAAUAAAAGAGAAAAGUCGCUAUUUAAAUAUUUGAGGAUUAGCUCGAAUAUAUAUAAAAGAUAUAAAAAGAAAAAAUAAAGUCUGAGCUUGAAAUUAGCUAAGAUAAAAGUGUGUUAUAAAAUAUUUAAAGAUUGAAAUAAAUAAAUAUGUUUAUCUUGUUGAAAUGGAGGAAUAGAGAUUAAUCAAAGAAGAUCAUUAGGUAAAAUGCUGAGAUGAGUAUUAUAUUAUUAUAAAAAUAUAUAAAAAGUAGAAUAAUAUAAAAGAAAGAAAAUAAGUAAAUAAUAAAGUAAUGAUAAGGAACUCGGCAAAUAUAGUUCUCGCCUGUUUAGCAAAAACAUGGCUCUUUGUUAAUAUAUAUAGAUAUGGAGUCGGACCUGCCCGGUGUAUAUAAUUAAUAUAAACGGCCGCGGUACUUUGACCGUGCAAAGGUAGCAUAAUAAUUUGUUCAAUAAUUGUGGACUGGUAUGAAUGGUUUGACGAGGGAUUGACUGUCUCAUUAUUAUUUUCUAGAAAUUAACUUUUAGGUUAAAAGGCCUAAAUAAUACACAAAGACGAGAAGACCCUGGUGAGCUUAAUGAGAGUUAGCUGGGAUAAGACAGUGACUUAGUUUAGAUGGGGCGUCAAAAGAACAUAAGAAGCUUCUUUUAUUUAAGUAAAAAGUAAAUGGUGAUCCGAUAGUAUAUCGAAAAAAAGAAAAAGUUACCACAGGGAUAACAGCAUAAUCUUUCUUAAGAGUUCAAAUUGAAAGAAAGGUUUGUGACCUCGAUGUUGGACUAGAGAUACCUGGAGGUGCAGCAGCCCCAAAGGUUGGUCUGUUCGACCAUUAAAACUCU
rnacentral:rRNA from 1 species